UACGUAGGGGGCAAGCGUUAUCCGGAUUUACUGGGUGUAAAGGGAGCGUAGACGGAAUUGCAAGUCUGAUGUGAAAGUCCGGGGCCCAACCCCGGAACUGCAUUGGAAACUGUAUUUCUAGAGUGUCGGAGAGGCAAGUGGAAUUCCUGGUGUAGCGGUGAAAUGCGUAGAUAUCAGGAGGAACACCAGUGGCGAAGGCGGCUUGCUGGACGAUGACUGACGUUGAGGCUCGAAAGCGUGGGGAGCAAACAGG
rnacentral:rRNA from 1 species